rnacentral:rRNA from 1 species
AGGACGAACGCUGGCGGCGUGCUUAACACAUGCAAGUCGAGCGGUAAGGCCCUUUCGGGGGUACACGAGCGGCGAACGGGUGAGUAACACGUGAGUAAUCUGCCCUCCACUUGGGGAUAAGCUUCGGAAACGGGGUCUAAUACCUGAUACGACAACUUCCUGCAUGGGAUGGUUGUGGAAAGUUUUUUCGGUGGGGGAUGUGCUCGCGGCCUAUCAGCUUGUGGUGGGUAAUGGCCUACAAGGCUUCGACGGGUA